GUGUUAUAAUGGAAAUAAUAUUACUUCUAGUUUCUUUGUAUCUUUAUGAGAUUUUAUCCUAGAUGUGGUUGUUUCUUUUUUAUUUAUUUUUUCUUUUAUUUGGACUGCUCUGAGAUUUGUAAUCUUUAAACUUGUCUCACGUUUGAGGUAAUCUCUAUACUAUCUUGUCAAUAGCCCUUGCAGUGUUUUAGCUGUGUGGACAGUAUAAAGUAUAAGCUAUAGCGAGAACAUUAUAGAUGAACAUUUUGUAGCUAUACUGUUGUAGAGCCCAUUGCCAGUUUAUUUCCUGCAAAUUUACAGGGCAAACUACAGUGGUGUUCUGAUGUUAAUUUUACAUGUUGAGUGAGACAAGGUACCAUCAGGAUUUCAGUGGCACAAAUGCUUGCCUUUUUUGUUCAUAAUUUCUUUCAUCAGCAUUUCCUCAUUCUUUAUAUUUUUCCUUUUUCGGCACUGCAUCUGCUUUAUUAACUCACUUUUGCUUUUUGGUUCUUUCUCUUUCUCCCUUUAUUCUGGGAAUAGAUACAAGAAGCUCCUGCGCACGGUGGAUCUCACAAAAGACUUCUUUUUCAGCUACUCCUAUCAUAUUAUGCUUAGUCUUCAAAAGAAUCUGAGCAAUUGUGAGACUGGACUCACCCUUUAUGACACAAUGUUUGUAUGGAAUGAGUUCUUAACCCGAGGAAUUCGCUAUCAGCUCAAAAAUACUCUUUGGACUGUCGCUUUAGUAUAUGGAUUCUUUAAACAGGUAUUUUUUAUUUGAAAUUGUUUCAGAGGUAUAUAUGAAACCGAAGGGAAAUCUGAAUUUACUUUUUAUUUGAAAUAGUUUCAGAGGUAUAUAUGAAACCGAAGGGAAAUCUGAAUUUUGACCUCAAUGUUGUUGGGAAGAUGCUCCUUUUAGAUAUGAUACCAACUUAUUUGUUGUACUAGGUGAUGAUAUAUUCACAUUGAAAGGAACCUGUGAUUCAUUCUCAGACUUUUAGUAUUGUGAUGUUUCAUGAUUUCUUUACCCAUUAAAUGACUUGGAUAUUUAGCCAUUGCUAGGAUAAUACUUUAAACAUGUUAUCAUGUAGCUGAUGUUUUUGUAGGUGACACUUUCUAUUUCUGAUCGGGAUUUCGUGUUGACCCUAAUUGCUAGGCGUUCUCGUCAUUAUGCCGGUACCAGGUUCGUCUAAUUGACUUUAAUACUAUAUCCUUUUUUAUCUGAUGCUGAUUUAUCUCAUCGGAUUCUGGUAGAUCUAUUACUCCAGCAAUAUUGUGCCAUUUGAGUAAUCUUGGCAUUUACCUAUAACUAAGUUGAAUUUAAAGAUGAAGAAAAUUCAAAAGAGUGUUCUCAGUUACUUUCAUGUAAAUGGUCUUUUUAUGAUCAGAUACAUGUGAAGUAUAAGUAGAUUUAAAUUCAGUAUUUCAGUUAGUGAUCAUGGUUCAUCUCCUACUUGUUGAGUUAUUUUUCCUUUUAUGUUAUGCAGAUAUUUAAAAAGAGGUGUAAAUGAGAAGGGCCGCGUAGCAAAUGAUGUGGAAACGGAACAGAUUGUGCUUGAAGAUAUGCGUGAUGGUUGCCCUGUACAAAUAAGUGCUGUUGUGCAGAACCGGGGUUCAAUACCUCUUUUCUGGUCGCAAGAAACUUCACGUUUGAAUAUUAAGCCUGGCAUCAUACGUAUGAGAAAAGAUGCAUAUUUUAUUAUGAAGUAUGCAAUAUUCAAAAUUUUUAUGAUUGUUUCUUUUUAUAGUCUCCAGGAAGGAUUUGAAGUUUGAAGCCACCAAACGUCACUUUGAGAAUCUUGUAAAGAGAUACGGAAAUCCAAUUAUAAUAUUGAAUUUGAUUAAGGUAAACUUUAUCAGGGAAUCUGAAUCCAAUUUAUGUUGCCUUUUCAUUUUCAGUUCUCUAACCUUCUCUGCUAAUCUUUCCCCUGCAUUUGUUGUUAAUGUUGUUAUAGAUGAGUCUAACCUUCUCUGCUCAUCUUUCCCCUGUAUUUGUUGUUAAUGUUUGACGCUAAACAGACUCGUGAGAAGAGGCCAAGAGAAACAAUUCUUCGUGCAGCAUUUGCUAAUGCUAUUGAGUUUAUAAAUAAAGAUCUUUCUGAGGAGAACC
rnacentral:lncRNA from 1 species